rnacentral:rRNA from 1 species
UACGAGGGGGGCAAGCGUUGUUCGGAAUUAUUGGGCGUAAAGGGUGCGUAGGCGGUGCGGUAAGUCUGUUGUGAAAUCUCCGGGCUCAACUCGGAGUCUGCAUCAGAAACUGCCGUGCUGGAGUGUGGGAGAGGUGAGUGGAAUUUCCGGUGUAGCGGUGAAAUGCGUAGAUAUCGGAAGGAACACCUGUGGCGAAAGCGGCUCACUGGACCACAACUGACGCUGAGGCACGAAAGCUAGGGGAGCAAACAGG